GUAGGUGGCAAGCGUUGUCCGGAAUUAUUGGGCGUAAAGCGCGCGCAGGCGGUUCUUUAAGUCUGAUGUGAAAGCCCACGGCUCAACCGUGGAGGGUCAUUGGGAACUGGAGAACUUGAGUACAGAAGAGGAAAGCGGAAUUCCACGUGUAGCGGUGAAAUGCGUAGAGAUGUGGAGGAACACCAGUGGCGAAGGCGGCUUUCUGGUCUGUAACUGACGCUGAGGCGCGAAAGCGUGGGGAGCAAACAGGGAUUAGAUACCCUGGUGGUCCACGCCGUAAACGAUGAGUGCUAAGUGUUAGGGGGUUUCCGCCCCCUUAGUGCUGCAGCUAACGCAUUAAGCACUCCGCCUGGGGAGUACGGCCGCAAGGCUG
rnacentral:rRNA from 1 species